UCUUUUUUUUAAAGUGUUCUGUGUGGAGUGCAACCAUAUAUAUAUAUAUGUGUGUGUGUGUGUGUGUGUGUGUGUGUGUGUGUGUGUGAGGAUUGCACUUUAUUUUUUGGGAUAUUUAGUUAUAAAAUAGUUCAUGAACAUUUUAUUUCAUUGCUUAAAAUGCAUCACAUGCAAAUGAAAGACGGUGGAUAGCUUAAAAUACAUCACAUACGAAUAAAACAUGAUGGAAAUGUGACUAUGUGAGCCUAUAAAGUAGUUCAAGAACACCUUUAUUGAGAGUUUAAAAUGGAUCACAUUCAAAUAAAAGAUGAUGAAAAUGUAAUAUUUUUCAUGUUCAAGAUAAAACAUAAAUUAUUCAUUUUUCAAAAUGAUUAAAGCUCAAAUGGGUUGAAAUUGAUAAAUGCAUCCCAUGACAUGUUGAAAUUCUUCAUCACAUAUUCUUCAUCAAUUUUUGCAGGUGCAUGGCCCAACUGACUUGUUUGGUCCUCAGGAGCAAGAAACUCUGGUUGAUAUUCAUCGACAACUUCAAAUUUGAUAGUUUGCACAUGAUUUUUACCUUCAUAAUUCACUGGGAAAUUGGUUUGUGGCAGGCCAUCCUGUUCCGGUUGGUAAAUACCCCCUUCCUCUGCUUUUUUACGCGUGCUGAUUCGCUAAUUUUUGGAUAGUUUUGCCAAAAUGUCAUAGGAAGAUAUUAGUAUACCUGAAACAGUAGCAUAAACAUAUAGUCCUUAAAUUACUUACAUAUUUUUGUGUCUGACUAUCUUUGUAGAGCAUGAUAAAAUCUCCAACUUGGACGUUUUUCUCUAGUGUAUACUUUCCUGAAAGAAAGUGAAACAACCUCCUCAACUUUGGAUAAAAGAAAGCUUAACACGAAAGAGGAUCAUCUAUGAACCCAUCAGUUUCAAGCUAGCUAGCUAAUAUAGCAUUAAAAUUUUAAUUAUUUCAACUUUGAUUAUAAUGCAUUAAAAUGUUAAUUAUUUCAACUUUUUAUCGUAGACAAGAAAAUCAUGUUGAAUAGCAUUAGCUGACAUACCAGUUCCUUCCAGUACAUACAUCCGGCUUGCACCAUUUUGCCAACUCCUGUGCACCAAGUAAACCAAAAAAUUAGGUUCACUUUAUAAAUUUUGUGAUACAAAUCAAUUGUUUUAGCUAAAAUUUGUCCUAGAUUCUUCACUAGUUACUAAUGUACCACAAUUCGUGUAUGUCACAGAUUUAGAAUAUUAGAGUAAUUUACACUUUGCACCCCGUAUGUUUAGGCGCUUUUUCGAUUUGAUAUCAAACAAAUUUUUUUGACAAUAUGCACCCUAAAGUUUAAAAAUCACUUCGAUAUGCAGUCCUUUGACCAAAUUCCGUCAAGUUGACUGUUAAAGUUAACAACAGCAGGGGUAAAACAGUAGUAUUGUACGCCUUUUGCUCUAAUCAAGUUACCGUGUUACCCUUGUUGAUGUUGACUUUAACGAUAAGCUUGACGGAAUUUGGUCAAAGGGGUGCAUAUUGAAGUGCUUUUUAAACUUUAGGGUGCAUAUUAUCGAGAAAUAUCGUUUGAGACCAAAUCGAAAAAAUGCCUAAACAUACGGGUCGCAAAGUGUAAAUUACUCAGAAUAUUAAACACUAAGAAUUUAUACAUGUAAGGACUUGUAAUAUCCUAUAUAAUAUACUAUCAAACCUGAAACAAAAGUUCCAAACUUUCCCAGUUCUCAUAUCAUCCAUGAAUAUUCGAGCAGAAGUCUUUAGCUUUGCGAAUUCUCCGAAGAACUGCUCAGCAUAUGCCUAUAAAAAAGAAGUUGCUAAACAUUAAUUUGUUGCCCAAGUUGUUACUAAAAUGAAGAAAUCAGCAAUGUGAAAUUAAUUCAAAGAUAAUUAAUGUUCAAGGCAUAACAAGAAACUUUUUGUAUGGUGAUAUACUACUAUUGAGCAAUGAUGCACACUUUUGAUUGAACAACAGUUUUCUUGUUAGUACUUUAAAUAAAUUUAAACGAAGCAUUCUAAUGGAAUUUAAUUUAUCUACGAAAUCAGAAUUUUGAAUUAUUAUCAGACAAUCCAACUUACCUUCGGGAUUAUUAUUCGAUUCUGACCCUUUACAUCACUAUGAGUUAAUUUCUUCUCGAACAAAAAUUGGCUUAUGGAGUCUUUAACUUCCUGCUCCUACAAAAAAAAUAAAAUAAAAUGCAGAUAUAUAGCAUAUAACAAGCUCAAUAGCCACAAAAUAAACAAUUAACUUGAUAUCUAGUAUCAUGUUAGAUUCUUCCCUAAAUAUUCUUAAGAGUACAAAACAAUUAAAUUAGAUUUUAUAAUAUAUUUAGGAAUCAUCUAAAAUAUAUUGAAAAAAUUUAUUAAGACCGUUCAAUCUAUUAGAUUUAUCGAUUUAUUUGGAAAAAAGAGAUCUAAUAGAUCUAAUAGGUAACAAGUUAUAAAAUUGGGGGUGUCACAUCUUGAGACAAGAAAAAAUAUGCUCUUACACCAACUUGGGAUGCUUCACGGAUUGGGGCUUCUUCCUUCUUCUUGUACCUGCUUGAAUUUGUGUCUGCACGAGAAGGGUUUGAUGGCAUUGCUAGUGUUUUUUCUUGAUUUUCAGCCAUAUUAGUGGGUUUUGACUGCAUUCAAGGGGAUUUUUGUUCAUAAACAACCAUAGAUAUAUUAUAUAUGUUGUCAAAAAGAUGAGUAUACAAUGUGAAAGUGAAAGGAGUAUAUAGUAAGAUAACUAAUACAUAUGUUAUUAAAGAGAUGCGCAUAAAAUACAAACGUUACAAACGUUACAAACGUUACAGGAGUAUAUAACAAGAUAAUCGAAAAUACAUUAUGAGUGUAGGAUAUAAAAGACAAAAUAUAAAAGACAAAGUUGAUAAUUCCAAUGCUUACACAAACUUACAAUAAUAAACAAAAUUAAACAACUCAUGAAGAAGGGAUAUUUUCUUUAUGUUAUAAAUGAGUCAUCCAACUACUUUCUAAUGACCAUAAGUUAUAGCUAUAGAAUGCAUGAAUGUUAUGUAGAUUUAACUUUCACCUAAAAUUGUUAUAGAUCUGACUAAAAUUACCAACCUAGCUGGGUUGUUAGGGUGAGGACAAGUUAUACUAAGAGCCGGUUUGGCUGAAUUAAGCACAAAUGUAAGGAGCUUCUUGCAUAAUAAGGUCGUAACAUUCAUGGUGGUGGUAGAGAGAUUCAGAAAGGGCGGAAAAGAAGGGUGAUAACUAGGCGAUAAUUGUUCUUUAAUUAAGGAUAUUAAUUAUUCUUAAUUAAGGGUUUUGUACCAUUUAUGGCGACCAUGAUUGGGGCAUUUUUUGGCCUAUAAAGGCAUUUAAGUGCCAUAAUGUUGGCUCAUUUAUGUCUUCAUUUUGGUUUUUUUCAAAUUCAUUCAUAUUCUUUUAUUCGGUUUUGUCUUAUCUUCAGGAUGUUUGAAAGAGAUUUUAUGAAUUUAUUUAUCAAGACUGCUUUCGAGAAGACGAAAAUCUUAGUGUACAAGACAAUUGAGCUACAAAUAUCGAUGGAAAGGAAUAAAGAAGACAUCAGUUUUUUAGUCUGAUUUGUAAACGAUGUAAUUUCGUAGGGCACUCUUUUUUCCCCUUGAGUUUUUUCACACAGGGUUUUACUUUUGAGGGGUUUUAACGAGAUCCUUUUUGGUGAGUUAUCUGUUCUGACUUGAAAGGCGAUGUUAUCUAAACAUCCGAAGUACUUGCUUACUUUCGGUUAGAUGAUAUACGUUCUUGAAUGAAGGAAACUCGGUCCAUCCGGAUAUUGUAACUUCCAAUAUUGGUUUAAUAAAACCGUUUUAUGACAAAGAAAAGGACUUAUAACUUAAUGUGAAUUAUGAUUUAACUUGACUUAUGUGAUAAGGUGGGAGUUUAAAAUGUUCGUUUGGGUAGUUUUGAUUUAUUAAUGACUUAUAAGUUAAUAAAAGUAAUUUAUGGGUAACAUAACUUUGUCUUAUGAGUUCUAUCAAUUUUUUAAAUAAAAAAUUAAAUAACUGAAAUAAGUAUCCCAAACUAACUUCUGGCUAGCUUAUUUCUAACUUGAAUCCAAAUUCUGACUUAUUACACAAACACACAAUUUUCAAAUUAAAAUUGAAAAUGGCUUAAAGCCCAAAUGUUAAGCCUAGACAACCAGGCUUUAACAGUGACUAUAUAUAAACUAUAUUAAAUGUCAACAUACAUAUACAAAAAACUGAAUAUAUAUGUGUGUGUAUUAAAUAAAGCUAUAAAGUAUAGAGUUCAAAAUACCUCCUUGUGUACAACAAUUUUUGUAGGAAUUCUUUCUUCAAAAACUUAUAUUCAAUUACAAUACAUGAGUUUUGACAAUAUAUUAUAUGAAUUUAAUUGAAUAUAUGAAUUUAAUUGAAUGCUCGACCUAUAGUAAAUCUUGUUUCCUUUUUUUUUUUUUCACACCUAUGUUAACAAAGUUGAUUCCCCAUCUACUACCGAAAAUUGAACCUACCAUCUCCCCACUUUUGUUGUACGUUAUUUAUUUGAAGUUAUUGGUAUGGAUAAUUAUUAUUAUUUUACUAAUAGAUAAUAAUUCAAAAAAAUAAUUAAAUACUAACUAAUUUUUUCCAAAGAAAUUGGUAAAUAUAAAAUGAUGGCACUAUUGCAAACAAUGAGAAAUUUAAGUAUUUGUGUGAUUUCACCUAUAUAACGGUUCUUUUAUACUUCUUUUUGUUAUUUAACGAAGCUGUAACCCCUCCCCCCCCAACACCACCCCAAAAAAAAUGAUUCUACAGCCUCACGCAACCCUAAUUUUUCAAUGGUUCUCUCAUAUGCUAUCUGAAAAAUUAGGGUUGCGUGAGGUUGUAGAAUGAUUGUGUGUGUGUGUGUGUGUGGGUGNNNNNNNNNNNNNNNNNNNNNNNNNNNNNNNNNNNNNNNNNNNNNNNNNNNNNNNNNNNNNNNNNNNNNNNNNNNNNNNNNNNNNNNNNNNNNNNNNNNNNNNNNNNNNNNNNNNNNNNNNNNNNNNNNNNNNNNNNNNNNNNNNNNNNNNNNNNNNNNNNNNNNNNNNNNNNNNNNNNNNNNNNNNNNNNNNNNNNNNNNNNNNNGGGCUUUCAGCUUCUUAGAUAGCAAAACGAAGCAUAAAAGAGCUGUAUAGAGGUGAAAUUAGACAAAUACCACUUUGUAUGUUAGAUUUUAGAAUGGACUGCAUAAACUGUAUCGGGUUAUGAAAUGUAAUAUAGCAUGUGAUUGUUUUAGAAGUGCAGUAUGCAAGUGGUGUCUCGCUUAAAGUGCAAGCGCACAUAAUGCACUUUACUCAAAGAAUAAUUAAAAAUUGGUGGUUUUGAUAAAUAACCUAAAUAAUAUUUGUGUGUAUCAUGUUGUUUAAAGCAUAAAUGUUUUUUUUUUUUAACAAAACAUGUAAGUGUGAAAAUAUAAGUUUUGCAACCUAAUAGCAUUAACAACAACAACAACAACACCAACAACACCAACAUCAUGUAUUGUACUCUUAAAAUAUUUUAUGGAUCAAAAAACACAUUUGAACGGAUAUUGUUAAUAUUCGAAUUUGUUAAGAUAUAGAGAUAAUUAUCAUAUAAUCUCCAUGAGUCAAAAUUUCAUCUGGAAUGAGUAUUGAAAUUAUUGAAUUUUAAAUAUCUUGUACCUCAUUGAAAUGUUUAAUAAUUUCUUAUUUAAUAUUAUUAAAUUAUUUCAUCUAAUAAAUCACGAUUUUGGUGAAACUUUGUUCAGAAUAUAUGAAUUAAAAUAUCUUUAUUUGUGAUUAGAUGAGGAUGUGUAACCUGCGUCUUUACAUUCUUUUGUAAACAUUGAUACAGAUUAUUAUAUAAAUUACGCAUAUUUUAAUAACAUUAAUUAGAUGUUUAAGAUCGAAUAUUAGGGGUGAUCAAAACUGAACCGAAACCAUAAAAUCAAACCGAACAUUAAAAUUUCGGUUCGUUUUGAUUUUUAUAAGAAUUUCGGUUAAUUCGGUUUUUCCGUUUAAACUAAAAAUAAUAUAUGUUCGGUCCAGGUUUUGAUAUAAUGUUUCGGUAUAAACCGCAAUAACCGAACUUUUUAUUACAUAUAAAAUAAAUAGAUAUUAUUGAUAUUAUUUCUAGGUUUUUCUCCCACUCUCUUUCUCUCCCACACUUUCCGUCCAUUCAUUUCCAGAACCCCAUCAAACACCAUCUACACUCUCGCUCCAACCCAUCUUCAUCCCCCGCACUCUUAAAAACCUCAAAAAAAUCACACUUCCACAUAAUCAAAUCCGUUCGAGACCCAGCUAUGUGUCACAAGAGACCACAUCAGAAACAGAAACACCGCACCUCUGGGAACUAGAAAUGACCUACCUUCUGAAAUAUGGGCAUAAAUCAAGAAGGUCGUGAAAGAAAGAGACGAGAAUAAAUAAGGAAGUGACGAUUUUUAUAGAGGAUGGGUGAGGAGAUUGGAGAGAGAUCGAGUGUGGCCUGCUUUUAAAAAAGUACUUGUGUUGUGUUUGGUGUUAUUGCAGGGUUUAUAAUAUGAUCUUUGCCGGCAGCAGAGGGUUUGGUGUUAUUGCAGGGUUUUAAGAGUUUUUUUGGAUGAAAUCGAUGAAUCUGAUUAAAAUUUUCGGGUUUUUCAAAAAAAAUCGAAACCGAACCGAAUGUUCGGUUCAGAAUAAUUAUUCGGUCCGAUUUGGUUUCACAAAAAAGUCCAAUUCGGUUUUUGAUUUUUUUGAUUCGUUUCGAUUUUCGGUUUGGAUUCAAACCUCUAUUUCAAUCCGCUAACUGCCAAACACUAAUUUUAGUGGAUUCCAAUGGUCAAACCUUUAAAACACCCCAAACCUCUGACUUCCAAAUAGGGUCAUUAAAUUUUUGAUUGUUAAUUUAAAAUAUUAGAAGAUCAACUAUUACAAUAUCAACUAAUUAUAUAUACUUUUAAUUAUAAAUUUUUUAUUUUCUGAGCUUGAUGAUCAUGCAUUUAAAUGAAUUUUAAUGUAAUAGUUAUUUCUGAAACUGAUAUAAUCUCUCCGUCCCUUCUUAGUUGUCACAUUUCUAUUUUUGUUGGUCAAAUUGACUAAGUUUUGACCAAAUAUUAUAAGUCACUCACUCAUUAUAUUAAAAAACUAAAAAUUACAUAUUAAAGUAAAUUAAAAGUUAUUUCCGAUGAUAUAUUUUUUAUAUUUUAUCAAUUGAUAAAUUAUUAAUAAAUUACAGUCAAAUUUUAGUCAAUUUGAUCAAAUGUGAUUACUAAAUUUGACCAAAUGUGACAACUAAAAAGAGACAGAGAGAAUAUGUGUUAUACAUCAAAUAACAAAUAAAUUUUAAAGAUUUUAAAUAACAAAAAAGAGAGUAUAUAUGAGUUAAGUUCAUGAAAUUCAUAAGCAUAUGAAUAUGCGGUCCUUUACAAUACUACUCCCAAAAAUCUGAUCAAAUAAUUAAUUUAAAAUUUCGAAGAUAACAAAUCGAGAAAACAAUUUAAUAUUUUUUUAAAUUCUCUUCCAGAUUAAAAUUUUUACAGCCUGAACAACCCGCCGGACACAUUCUCCGGCGAAACAUUUUAAUUUCUUGUUCACAGAGCAGUCAAAGAUUCCGGGUGCCACAAAUAAUCAGGCGCCUCUGAGUAAUCAAACAACCCAUUACCUAAUGUUAUAAACUCAUUUCUGUCAUAGUUAUCUUCACCGAGUCCAAACUCGGCCGAGUCAUACGCGGGCAACUCGUCCACAAAUGAAAAGUCCUGUUUCAAUUCAAAGUUAUGGUCCGGACUCGUGGCUGACUCGGUUGGUUUAUUUUCUGGGGUAUGGUCUGAAGGUGAUUUUGCGGGUGGGAGGCCGAGUUCAUCGUCGGAUGCACCGAGUAGAUAGUCGAAUUCGCCGGAAUCUGUUGCCGGAAAUGGGGUCUCUGUUGGGAUUGUGAUCUCUUCUUCAAAGCUUUUGAUAACUGAGUCAAGGCCUUGGAUGGACGAGUCAAUAUCCGCGUCUUCGAGGAUGUCUAGGAUUUCGUCUGUUAGCUGUAUCGUGUCGGGGGAUUCAGGUUCUGGGACAACUGAUUCAACUCGGUUAUAUAAAUCAUCUGCUGAGUCAACUCGGUCAGGAGGGUAAGAAAGUGGGUCGACUCGGCCUGACUCGGAAGGGUCGAUCGAUGAGUGGACUGGGCCUGACUCGGAAAGGUCUGUUGACGAGUCGACUCGGCCCGACUCGGAAUCUUCCGCCACAGUUUCAUCUUUGUUCAAAUCCCCCGAGUCGACCCGUGAACGUUUCAACUCGGGAGAACACGACUCGGAAACCAACUCAUCUCCGGAUCGUUUCUUGGUUUCAUUAUGAACAGCACAAUCCUCCAUCUUGUAAUGAUAGGCACUUUGAACAGGCGCUAGUAUAUAUUAUUAUUAUAACCUGAAGAAAAUAAGGCAGCGUUUGGUUAAUGAUUAUCGGUGAUUUGGGCUAAAGAGAAGAGAGAGAUAAAUUAAAAUGACAAAAUGGGUCUAGAGAGAGAAAGAGUGAGAGAUGAUUGUGUGCACAAAAAAGACAUGGAGAGAGGAAAUUAUAUAUAGAGCAGGGGUAGCAAAGGAAACUUGUAAAUUUCUCAAUUAGGAGACUACAACAAAGUUGAUGGGCUGUUGCUUAAUGGCAGUUGAAAUGACUUAUUUAUUGUGCAAAUCAUAUUAUUUAUAUUAUUUAUUAUUUAUAUAAAAAUAAAAAUAAUAAAAAAAGGUGAGAUGUUGAGGUUUCCAAGACUUGGUACUAAAGAGAGGGGAAGAUAAAAAGAUGCGAGUUGGUUGGAUGAAUGGAAGAAAUUAUGAUGUGUUUAUAUAUGGUAAAGCCAUGGUGCAUAUAUAUAGAAUGUAAGUAUACAUUGUAUCUAUAUAUGGUGUAUGUAUAGGUGAGAUUGGAGAAGAUAUUUGCUAAGUUUGUGUAAGGAGGAAAGAAAAAGAAAAGAAGAAAAUAUAGGAGAGGAUGGGGACAGGCGCGUCAUUUUCGGAUUCAAAUUUAAAGAAAGUCGCUCCUGCCCUCUCGUUUGCUUUUCUCUCUUCACGGGCAUCUCGCUAUUAUCUUUCUUUAUUUUAUUUAUUACUCCCUCUGUCCCAUUUUAACUGAUGUUUGACUUUUUGACACGUAUAUUGAGAUGUAAAAAAAUAAUAUCUACGUUAAAUAAAAAGAUUUAAUUCUUAUAUCAAAUAAAAGUUUAGAUUAUUAACUUUUAUUUGAUAUAAAUUUUAUAAACAAUAAUUAUGUUUAGAUGUGAUUUUUUUAACACCUUAAAAUACGUGUAAAAAAGUCAAAAACAGUUAAAAUGGGACGGAGGGAGUAUUUAUUUAUUGGGUGAAUAAAUAAAGCUAAUUAUAAGCUGGAUUUAAUUUGGGGUUUCAAAUCCGUUACAUGGGCCCACCAUGUUUGGAGGAAAGAUGUGGUGGCUUCCUCCAAUGUCGGUCUAUUUAAGGUUUUUUCUUCUCGUACUUUCUGUGGAAUUCGUGGCGCAUUGUGUAUUUUUAAUACUUUUUUGACCUUUUCUUUUACUAUUAUUUUAUUUAUUCUACUUAUUUGGUUAGUUUUUGACUUUUUCUUGUUUAGAUUUUCUUUAUCGCUGUUUUUGCCGGAGAUAUCUAACCGACAGGUUGGUAGGGGUGUGCACGGGUCGGUUCGGUUCGGUUUUUACCAAAAACCGUUACCAAACCGUGUAUGUCGGUUCGGUUCGGUUUUUAGGUAGUAACCGUAACCGAACCGUUCGGAACGGUUUUUCUCGGUUCGGUUAACCGUUUGUCGGUUUCGGUUUUUUUCGGUUUUCGAAUUUAAUAAUUUAUUCUCUUUAAUAUCUUGCUAAUAAAAAAUUAUAAAAAUCAUAUUAACAUUGCGAUAAAAAUUAUUAAAAUCAUAUUAACAAUGCAAAAAUUAAUUAAAGGCAGUGGACAUAUUGAUAUUAGAGCAUUAAAAGGAUGGCAAGAUUGAACAAAAUUUUUCUUGUAAAACUUCAUAACCAGUAAUCACUAAUGCACUGAUCAUCUAUCAAAUAAAAUAUAAAUGUAUAUAGUCAGUAGCACAUAAAUCUGUAUAGAAUAAAUAUAUAUAUAUAUAUAUAUAUAUAUAUAUUAAAUAUUUUAAAAUAAUAUUAGCGGUUCGGUUUUUCGGUUCGGUUAUAGGGGUAAAACCGUAACCGUCGGUUCGGUUAACCGUCGGUUCGGUUAAGCUACGGUUUUUUUCGGUUUUUGUCGGUUUCGGUUUUUUUCGGUGUGGUUUUUCGGUUUUUCGGCUCGGUUUCGGUUUUUCGGUUUUUUUUGCUCACCCCUACAGGUUGGAAUAGACGAUUGUAAUGUUAAGUUAACUCAACCAAACUAAGCGGGUGUUUGGGUGCACUACUUCUAGGCUUAAAAGUAGCAUAAGCGCACUUCUGCUUUUUGAUGCAUGUUUGGCCAAUUGAUUGAAGUGCUUAAUUAUGGUGAAAAGAGCUCACAGAAAAAGCUACAAAAGGUAGCUUCUUCUGAGCCUCAGCUUCUUACUUCUUUUCAUGCUUCCUGUUCCCGCAGCAGAAGUAUGCUUGGUUGAAGCUGGAUUUAGUAAAUGAACGUGCACUGUGACCAUAUAUCACAGAACUGACGCUUAGACAAUAAAGCUUAAAUGAAUUAGAAAAGAAAAACCCAUAAGUCCCGUAACAGCUCGCUUCCAAAGUAUCCUGAAAAAAAACAAAUCAAACAAAACAUAAAUCAAUAUACAAGAAAAUCACGCAUAUAAAAAAAAACAAAUUAUUAUUAUAUUAUAAAAUUAUGAAACUAUACCAACUUAUAAGUUAAGUUAUCCAAACACUUAAAAUCUUAUAAGUCAUGGUAUCCAAACACUUAUAAUAGCUUAUAAGUCCAAACCAACUUCUCACUUUUAAUCCACUUCUUUAUUUUAAGCACUAAGUCACUUUUUGAAAUUCAGCCAAACGGCCCCUAAAUCUACACGAUCUAACUUUCGUUCAAAAAAUGAACACCCCGUUUUUAGAAUGACCGCGACAUGAACUCGUAUGCAAUGUUUUUGAUUUUAAUAUAAUUAUUUCAUCUAUAAAAUUAGACUUAACCAAAAUAUUAAAAAUAUGAAUUUCAAGAAUAUUUAUAUAGGCAUAAUAUACACUUUCCAUUCUUUUCUUUAAAAUAUUAUUAUAUUUAGAAUAUACUAAUAUUGCGAAGAUAACUUUUCUUACAUCCUUUGUAAAAAGAAAAUAGUAGAAAUCCGAUUGUGAUGGUACCAAGAUAUGCUAACCUUUAAUUAUUUAUAACCUUUAAUUAUUUAUAAUUUGAUCUUUUAUAUGUUUUAAAUAUAAUUUAUAUUUAUCUUAUAUACAUUUCGUAUUUGUUGAAAAACUAAAAAUUAAAAAGCUUUAGUUGUUAACAAAUUUGAAAGCAGUAACUUAUGACUUAACGUAAUUUACGUGAUAUGCUAGGAGUUUAAAUGUAUGUUUGAGCAAUUUUGAUUUAUUAAUAAUUUAAAGGUUAUUAAAAAUAUUAUAAUAAAAAUAAAAUUGAUUUAUGGAUAACUUAUGAUUUAAUGAUAAUUUUUAUUAAAAAAAUUCAAAAAAUUAAGUCAUUGGAAAAAAAUAUCUCAAAAUAAUCUUAACUUAUUUAUAACUUUAAGUGAUUUUUGACUAAUUGAAUAAACAAACGUUUAAUUCGUGGAUAUGUGGAUCUGAAUCCAGAGGUUGUGUACCCUUCAAGUUUUUCGCGUAGGCCGCACUGUCCCACCAUUCACGUGACCAGAAAUCCUGUUCUUCUUACCAGAGUCACGUGCUGCCCUUAGCAUGUGUCGUGAGCCGGCAGUUGCUGCUUUGAGUCCACAUGAGUACAUGACACAUAAUGGAGCCCGACCUAACGGCAGCAGAAAUCCGAAUACGACUCGGCUCGUGACCAUUUUAAUUUGUAUAAAUUUAAUUCGAAAUAUUUAAUAUAAAUCUGAUAAUAAUAAUUAGAUAUGAUUUAGGGUUUGGAUUUAAUUAGGUUCUCAUAUUUCAAGACAUUGCGAUGUUUUUAUAUUAUUCUAUAGUUGCAGAACAUACGUGGUCUACGGUACUACAGUAAAUAUGUGGAAUACAUGAAAUUUUGUUCUAUAAUUUUAUACUUCAUUUGUUCCAUAUUAUUUGAAGCACUUUAUUUUUUGGAUAUCCAAAAAUAAUGAACUUUUUAUUUGUAACAUUUUUUUAAGACUGCUAUUACAAUCACGCAAUCAUAAAUUACACUCAUUUAAUAAUCCAUCUCUCCCAAAAUAAGUGUUGUUUUAACUUUUUGCACGUAAGUUGAGAGGUAAAAAAACAUAUUUUCAUAUAUUAAUAUUUUUCAAGUUUUCUUUUUCUAAAUAAAGAUAUAGAUGUUAAAAUUUUAUUCAGAAUUUUUUUUUGAAAAAUAACACGUAAAAGUAUGUGAUUUUUAUAUCUCACAUUACGUAUAAAAGGUUAAAAGCCGCGCUAGUCAAACAAACUCAAAUAAAAUGAAACGGGGGGAGUAACAAGUUAAACCUUGUUUCAAAAUAAAACAAUUUAAACAGAAUAAAUAUCCUUGAUUCUAACAUAUUUAGAUAUGAAUCGGUCAAUAAAAAAUUAAGAUCAAUCCGAUCAAUAUUUGACAUACUAGGGGGGUGUUUGGUCUAGCUUAAAAGCUUGGCAGCUUGGCUUUUGAGUUUAUAAGCUAAAAACAUUUAUUCGUACCGUUUGUAUAAAAAAUCAAGAGUUAAUUAUAAUAAGUUGAGAAUGAAGGGGCCUCUUGGGCAAAUUUUAAAAAAGUAAUUUCUUACUAAAAAUAUAGAAAUAGAUUAUAAAUUAGUCAAACCGAAACCAUAAACCUCCUUUCGAUUUCAGUUUGGAUCGAAUUUAUAUCAGAAUUUUUUAUGCGGAUUGUGCGGUUUAAACCAGACCGUGAUAAUUCCUACUAAUACUCCCUCCGUCCCAGUCAAUAGUAUACAUUGGGGGACGGGGGCGCGGCACGGACUUUAAUGCUUCAAUAUAGUAUAGUUCAGUAAAUUAUUUUUAAGAUUUUCUUUUUUUUAUAAAAAUAUAACAUUUAUACUUUUAUACAAAAAAAGAAAAUUUUAAAAAUAAGUUGUAGAACUAUGUUUUAUAAGAGCCUUAAAAAGCGUGUCGAGCAGUGAAAAAGAAACGUAUACAAUUGACUGGGACGGAGGUAGUAUAUAACAUUUCAUUCGAUAACGUCAUGAUGAUAACUGACGGAAAACGUUAAUUGUCAAACUUUGUGUCCCAGUGUAACCAAAACUAUGUCGAUAAAUAUGAUCUGUUUGAUAAAUCAAUUUAGAUAUGAGUUUAAACAUAUCUAUAUACUAUUUAUUAUACAAUUAUUUAUAUUUAUUAUAACGAGUAAUUCUUCACUUUCACCACGCAUUUCACUUACUUUAAUAAUGUUUGUCGUAAUCCAAAAGAAAAUUUACAUCCCCAAUCUUUCAAAUAAAAUAAUACAUUUGAUCUGUAACAACUUUAAGAUAAUGACGUAAUAAUUAUAACAAGCACCAUCGGUAGUAAUAAUUAUAUACUACCUGUGUACCAUGAUUCCUUUAAGAUGUCAUAAAAAUCAUAUUUAAAUAUACUUAUUUUCUAUUAAACUUAUACUCCCUCCGUCCCUUUGUUUACGUUCACAGGAAUGACAGUUUUAUCCGACCCGAUGGAUAUCUGACCCGUUCCGACCCGAUUGGGUCUACCUGAACUCGAUUUUUUUGGAUCUGGAUCUUAUUUUUAGACUCGAAGAAAUUUGGAUCUGGAUCUCAGGUAUUCCGAACCGAGAUCCGACCCAAAACCCGAAACCCGAUUUAAACACAAUCCGAACACGAAACUCGAUAAAACUCGAUACAAAAUAUUAUAUAUAUAUAUAUAUAGGAGUAAGAUCCUAAGAGAACCCAAAUUAUCAAGAGAACUAGAGAACCACCCUAUCUGCCGUUGAUUAAAAAUCUCAAUAUCUUUACAAUAUCUUUACAAUAUCAAUCAAAUCUAGUGAGGUUGGGGGUAUUUUUGUACUAUCAAAAAUACAAGAAAUCAAUUACAAUUGAUUACCUUUUUUAAUGAGAUUUAUUGCUGUCUUUAUUUAUCUUAAAAUAUUGUUCAUUUCUGUAUAGGAUCAACGCAAAAUCACAAUUCUUUUAGCUUCUUUUUCACAUCAAACAUAAUAUACAAUGCAGAGUGAAGAUAUGGACAAUGCUCGUGAUGAUUCCGUCGAAGGUAAGUUGUAUAUUUUUUUUUUAUGUUUUCUGUGUAUCUUUCACAACAAGAACAUCAGUAUUGAGAAUUACUAUCAUAUCUUAUUUUUUUCGGUUGUGUUUGAUAUAGUUCUGGAAAACAAUGGUGAAGCUGUGUACUCUCUCUAUACCCAGAACUGAAAGUUUAAUUUAAAAGACAGGAGAUGGACGUUAUAGGUGAAGAUGAAGCCGUUGGCAACCUUAAAUCUCUCAUGGAUUCAGAACCUUCAAUCUCUCAUGUUGAAAGCUUACGUUUUUGCAGAAUUCAUCUAGAUAGUUCAUUGAUUAAACUUGGAGAUGUUAUGAUAUAUGUGGUGUUAAAAUCAAUUUGUGAUAGUAUGUUUACUAUCAAAUUUCAUCACAUGCGUGAUGGUUUACUGUGAUCAUUUACUUGUAUGCAAGGAGAUCGGGAGAUCAGGUGUUUUAAUGUUUAUAGUUGGGAGCUUUGGGUACCAGGAUCAGCUUGUAUCAUAGUAUUUAGUGGAAUCUUCAUUUAAUAGAAUCUCAACACAAUAUAAUCAAAUUCUAAAAAAUAAAGUUAAUGACGUUUGAAAUUAUAAGUGAAUAUUUAAUAAAAUCUUAUUAAUGUAUAUAUUAUUAAAAUUCUUUAAAGUUUUUAGUUAAGUAUUUAGUUAAGAUUCUAGUAAAAUUUUAUUGAAACUCUACUAAUUGUCAUAUUGAUAGUAUUAAAAUUCUAUUAAGUGUUUCACUGAUAAUUCUACUAUCUUAAUAUUAAAUAUAUUUUUUAGAUUUUAAUUUUUAAAUAUAUUUCUAGAAAUGUUAAUGUUAAUGAAGAUUCUACAAUUCUUAAAUCAUUUAGUGAUAUAUUAAUGAAGAUUCCACAAAUUGGUGCAUUAAAAUUUCUAUAUAAUGAAUGAUUUUUUAUAUAAUGUAUUAUAGAUUUUUUAAUAAUUUUAUUAAUAUUCUAAUAAGGGUUCUAUUAACAAUAUAUAAUUUAUUAUAGCUUUUUUUAAUUAUAUGAUUAAGUUUUUAAUAAACUUUAAGAUUCUACUAAAUUUUUAUUAAGUGUUUCGUUAGUCGAUCAUAUAUAAUAUAUGAUUGUCUUAUAUAUAUUUUUAGAUAAUGUGAAGUUUAAUUUAAAAUAAUUUAAAAAUAUUAAAGAUCUACUCUAGAAUACAACUAUUUUUAUAUACACGAAAAUAAUAUGUGUAUCAACUUACGUUUUUAUUGAUAGAUUGAGUUCUGAGAAAUUCCAAAAAUAGAAUAUAUGUUAAAAAUAUAAGAUUUGGAUUCUAGAUUCUGUAAUAAUCUAUAAAUGGUAUUAUUUUAUUGGCUGAUAAAAAGAUUCUUUUAAGUAUUUUAUCAGUAUUUAUUGAGAUUCUCAUUUAAUGCUUUCAUAUCUUCCAUAUCUUUGAUUUAAUACUUCUAUAUCUUCUGUAUUUUUUAUCGGUUAAAAUAUUAAAGUUAUAAAUAAUGCUCCAUACGGAAUCUUAUUAAAGUAUGCUCCAUACGGAAUCUUAUUAAAAUAUUUUCACUACUUACUAUUUCCAGAUUCCGUAAAAGAUAUAAAAUAUUAAAAGACUUUGCAAAAAAUAUUCAGAGAUAUUUGGAUCAAUAUGUAGAAAUAUUACUUGCGAAAUCUAUUAUAGCGCACACUCAAAAUCUAGAUUUUUUAAAAUAUUCACUUACAAUGUGCUUUUUAAAUAUACGUAAUUGAAUAUUCAAUAGAAUCUCAACACAAUAUAAUCAAAUUCUAAGAAAUAAAGUUAACGACGCUUGAAAUUAUAAGUGAAUAUUUAAUAGAAUCUUAUUAAUGCAUAUAUUAUUAAAAUUCUUUAAAGUUUUUAGUUAAGGAUUUAGUUAAGAUUCUAGUAAAAUUUUAUUGAAACUCUACUAAGUGUCAUAUUGAUAGUAUUAAAAUUCUAUUAAGUGUUUCACUGAUAAUUCUACUAUUUUAAUAUUAGAUAUAUUUUUUAGAUUUUAAUUUUUAAAUAUAUUUCUAGAAAUGUUAAUGUUAAUGAAGAUUCCACAAUUCUUAAAUCAUUUAGUGAUAUGUUAAUGAAGAUUCCACAAAUUGAUGCAUUAAAAUUUCUAUAUAAUGAAUGAUUUUUAAUAUAAUGUAUUAGAGAUUUUUUAAUAAUUUUGUUAAUAUUCUAAUAAGGUAUCUAUUAACAAUAUAAAAUUUAUUAUAGUUUUUUUAAUUAUAUGAUUAAGUUUUUAAUAAACUUUAAGAUUCUACUAAAAUUUUUAUUAAGUGUUUCGUUAGUUGAUUAUAUAUAAUAUAUGAUUGUCUUAUAUAUAUUUUUAAAUAAUGUGAAAUUUAAUUUAAAGUAAUUUAAAAAUAUUAAAGAUCUACUCUAGAAUACAACUAUUCUUAUAUACACGAAAAUAAUAUGUGUAUCAACUUAUGUUUUUAUUGAUAGAUUGAGUUCUGAGAAAUGCCAAAAAUAGAAUAUAUGUUAAAAAUAUAAGAUUUGGAUUCCAGAUUCUGUAAUAAUCUAUAAAUGGUAUUAUUUGAUUAGCUGAUAAAAAGAUGCAAGAUGCCAUAUUUAAAAGAUUUGGAAAUAAUAACACUUUUCUUGUGUUCCAAAAUGCCCUUGGUCAGUAGAUUUUUUAAGAUAUUCUGAUUGAAAUAAUAAAAAGGCAAUAUAUAAAUGUUAUCCAAAAAUCAACGGUUCUAAGGAGAGUUCUCUCGGUUCUCUUGAUAGUGAGGUUCUCCCUCGAACCUUACUCUAUAUAUAUAUAUUAUAUAUAUAUAUAUAUGCUCUAUGAUAUGUUAAAUGUAAAGUGUAUAUAUUGAAAUAUUAUGAACUAUUAGGUAUGAAUAUUAACAUUUUACUUAAUUUUAUAUGCGCAAUACAGAAUUUAUAUUCAUUUCAUCAAUAUUUUAUUUUUCUCAAUUAUUGUACAUUAAAAAAUCUAAAUAUAAUAAUAAUAAUAAAAUAUAAAUGAUAAGUUGAAUGAUUGUCUCCAAUUAAGUUAACAUGUUUCACGUGUUUAUUGUACUAAACAAAACUUGUUACUCCCUUCUUUAUAUUCCCAAAUUUAAAAAAUAAUCAAUAAUCACAUUUUUUAUAGAUAUAUAAAUUUUAGUUAUAUUUUUAAAAUAUCCGAAUUGAACCCGAACCCGAAUCGAAACCCGAAAAAAUCCAACGGAUCGAAUACGGAUUUUCAUUUUCAGGACCCGGACCCGAACCGAACCAAAAUAUAAUGGAUCUGGUCUGGAUCUCAUGAAACCCGAGUCGACCCGACCUGUUGCCAUCUCUACGUUCACUGUUUGCACGCAUUUUGAGGCUUCCGUAAAGCAUAGUUCCAUAAUAUAUUUUCAAAAUUUUUUUUUUUUUGAAUAAAAGUUUAUAUGUCAAAUUUUUAUUCAGAGCAAAAAAUUUAAAAAAUAUAUUAUAUAUAGAAUCAUAUUUUAAAUGAGUGUUGAAAAGCAUGCCAAAAAGUAACAUAAAGAAAUUUGGGGGACAGAGAAGUAUCAAAUAAAAUUAGAAAAUCUAGAUUUUAAUAUAAUAUAGGAAUUAAAAUUUUACGUCAAAUAUAAUUAUUGUUAGUAUACACCUUAAAUCCUUAAUAUACUUGUCCCAAAAAGUGUACAGGGGAAAUACUAGUUUUAGUACAAUAUAUUUGCAAUUCGCCUUUCUCUGGCUUACUUUUUUUGAAACGUGUAUAGUAUUUCCAUCUGAUCUUCAAAAUAUAAACCGAGCAAGAGGUGAUCGAGAUUUUAUAUAUUUAUCUGUUGAGCUAUACAGAUCAAAUAUGAAUCGAUAUUAAUAUAUUCGAAAUUUCUUCCAUCCAUUAUACACAGAACUGUCCUUCAAUUUGAUAUGUUAUCCAUUAGAAUGCCAUUUAGAGUCUCACUUCUAGAAGAACAUUGUCAUCUAGGCAACUCUAUGGUAAAUUACGUACAGAAGAGAAUUACAUGAAACAACAGUAUAACCCAUUAUUUGGAGAAGAUUAGUUGGUGACCAUGAAGUCCUAAACCAAAAUUACUGACGCAUGGUCAGCUCGGCCGGCUCUAUCGAAUAUAAAUUAUCGAAAGAUUUAAUCAUGUGAAUUGUCGAUGCAUGAUAUCAAAUUUUAUAACGACAAAAUAUUUUGUCAUACGUAAUAAUACCAACAUACAGUAUAUACUAUAUACUUUGGACGGAUUGCUGGGCUGACAUCUGGUAAUUUUAUUUUGUAAAACUACAAUUAUAUCUAGAUAAACUUGAAGCAUUAUUAUUGUUAUGGUGAUCUCUGACAACUGAUUGUCAAGAUCCAUUAUUAUCAGAUUUAUAUUUCAAAAGUAUGGAUUGAAACUUGUGUUUUUAAGUAUCCAUUAUAAUUUUCCGCUCUUAUCCGCGAAAAAUUAUGAUGAAUAUUUAAAAAUAAUGAAGUUUUAAUCUUAGCUCUUGAAAUAAAGAUCCAACACCCUGUAGAUAUUUGUAUAAAUAAUUGAAGCUCGUAGAUUCUGAAGUUAGAAUAUCAGCCAAAGAAAACGUGUAAUCCUUGCUAGCACACGUUGCAUGGCCCUACCAACUACUCUACUACUCUGGUGGUAAAUUACCAUCUAAUUUCGAUCACUCAAUCAAAUUAUUUUUUGGGCUAUUUAUUCAAUUCAAAUUUUUUGAAGACACGAGAUUGUGACUCUUGUAUCAAUUCCGAUGGGUCGAAAACUGCUUUUGCUAUCUUGUUUGUAUAUGCACGGCAUAUUAAACUUGUGUUUGAGGACUUGACUUUUCGUCAAAUCCAACAACAUACAUGCAGCUGAGAUAAUUUAUAUAUUUAUUUCGACACUAAAUAUAUUUAAUAGUAUAAUUAAAGUUUCAUUAAAUUUUUUAAAAACUAAGUCAUUUAUUUAUUGAAAAAGUACUUAAAGUUGUACUUUUUAAAAAGAACUUAAUUUUUUAAAAUUGAUUUGUUUCCCUGAAAAUAAUUUUUAUAAAAUAAGUAUGCGAAAAAAUUCUCUACAAUUGAAACGAGUUUGUUGCAGUUGGCGAUUCAAACAAGUACGUUGCAGGUAGAUUAACUCUCAAGAAAUCUCAUUUUCAGAGUAAUUUAUAUCAACUUAUAUUAACAUCAUGUGCUUCACGUAUAUCUGGGGAAUAGUUGAAUCUGAUCUUAAAACAAAUUUGAUCUGAAUUUUACAUUUUUAUGAACUUUCGAGACAAAUUAUAAUAGACAUAAGUAUCUUCGCCAGAAGUGUGUACUUCCGUGAUCAAGAUCUGUUGGGUUAUAAGCCUCUCAGCCCAACUCACCAAGGCCCAAAAUAGGCCCAGUCCAUCAUUUGAACUCCAACGUCACUAUUGCAACGGUCGCGUGAGAGAAUCCCGCCUCCUUUACUCGCCAUCAUUUCCCUCCCGCAUCGGGCGGGAGCGUUACAAACUCAGGCUCAUCUCCCUCCUAUAUAAAGUGGGUAAAUUAAGGGUAAAGGACACAUUCACAUACAUAUACACUUUUACAUACAUACACGUUUGCAGUUCUCUAAACCCCUCUUGAGCCACUAACUUAUUCUCACGCCGGAGGUGAAUCGGGGGGACAAUCCCUCGCAUUCUUCUCUGUUUCAGGUCAUAUUCAGGCUUUGGCAUCCGGCAGAACUUUGGCUCCAACAUUGGCGCCGUCUGUGGGAACUGCAAGUAGAAUUUCUCAUAAAUCAACACCAUGACAAACACAACCGAACAAACCACUGGAAACACCUCCAACCCAAACCCCGGUCUGGACUAUGGCAACAGUCCCGAAGGGCUGCUGCCCACCCCCGAAGAACAACAGCAGAUGCUAUUGAAAUGGCGGGAAGAACAGGCUGCUAAAGCCCAAUCUUCCAAGACCAAAGAACAAGAAGCUGCCCGACUAGCCAAGAAGAGGGAAGCCGAUGAACUGCGGCUGAAGGCCCUCCAGCUACAAAGGGAAGAAAUUGAGCUCCAGGAGAGAGCCCUCCGAGAGGCCUUGGAGGCCGAAGGAGAUCGAGCACCAGAAGGCGAAGGAAAUAAGAAGAGGAAUCGGGAAGACCAAGACGGGUCUUCGGACUCCGAGUCGCACUCCGGAGGGCCUCGUCACAGGCAUGUCACACCUUCGGAUUCCGAAGGGGAGGAAGGCCCCCACGUUAGGGACCGACUCCGCCGAAUGGAGAAGGCCAUGUUUGGGGACAAGACGUUGACCCAUGAGCCAGUGAUAGUCGAAGAGAUCGAGCAAUAUCGGCCGCCCCCAGGGAGACAGUUCCCGAAAAUGAAUGAAUUUAACGGGAAGGGCGACCCGAUCGAUCACUGCGACAAGUACGAGUCCCUUAUGACCAGAAUGGGGCAUUGCGACAUCAUGCUAUGCAAGAUGUUCAAAACCUACCUAAAGGGGUCCGCUACGAUGUGGUACCGAUCCCUGCGUCCAAGAUCGGUCAGUUCUUAUGAUCAGUUGAAACGCAAGUUCUUGAGGCACUACUCCCACUUGUGCCGAAGAGAGAAGGAUACAGAGGCCCUUAUUCAUUGUCAACAGAGACCCAAUGAGGAGCUGGGCGAUUACUUGGCCAGGUUCAAGGAAGAAGCUGGGAUGGUCUCCAACCUGGAUAAGGUGAAGGCUGCAGGAUUCCUGACGGCUGGUCUGGAUUCGGUGAAGGGUAAGAAGCUCCGAUCAUCUUUGUACGAUAUACCCCCCAAGUCGUUGAAUGACAUUUACUUACGGGGGGAGAGCAUCAGAAGGAAGAUGGAGUCCAUUGGGGGACAUAAGAACGACCGGAAAGAUGAUCGAUACAGUUCCCGUUCGGACGGCAAGUGAAAAAGAAAUGAUGGUUACCGAGGCAGAAGAGAUGAAAGGGAUGAGAAGCUGGACAGAGGGGCCGAACGGAGGAGAGAUAGAGACAGCACUGCGUUCACUCCUCUGAACACAUCUGUCUCCAAGAUUCUGAACGAGAUUAAGGGGAAACCAGGAUUCGUUCGACCACCGAAGAUGAAGAUCCCAGAUUACAAGAAAAACUCUGAUAAGUAUUGUGACUAUCAUCGGGACCACGGUCAUAAUACCGAUGAAUGCUACCACUUGAAGAAGUUAAUAGUAAGGAUGGUCAAGGCUGGUGAUUUGAACCAGUAUGGUAAAGAUCUGAGGGAUCGUUUGGGUCCCAAAGAAGAUAAAGGGAAGGCGCCCGAAGAGGGUGAGAGAUACAGAGGCGAGGUCCGAACGAUAUUUGGAGGAACAAUUCUGGACCGAAGUAGCAAGACAGCCAAGAAGAAGUACGCCCGACAGGUCUACAACCUCUAUAGCAUUAACUCCACCAAACAGUCGUAUCCUAUAAUGUUCUCACAAGAAGACUAUGAGGACGUUAUGCUGCCGCACGAGGAUCCGCUGGUCAUUAAUCCCGUGAUCGGUCAGAACAAGAUCUGGAAGGUCCUGGUUGAUGGAGGAAGUUCUGUUAACGUCCUCUACUACAACACCUACCAGAAGAUGAACCUGGAAGGCAAGCAGAUCGAUACCUGCUAUGAGGCACCUCUCUAUGGGUUCGGCAAUCAGCCCGUCCCGAUUGAAGGUACGAUCCACUUGCCCUUGUUGCUCGGUAAAUCCCCUUAUACUGUGGCAAAAGCAGGUCAAGUUCUACGUGGUCCGAGUCGAGAGUCCCUUCAAUGCCAUCUUGGGGAGACCUGUUCUCACUACUUUUGAAGCUAUUGCCUCUAUCCCCCACCUCAAGUUGAAGUUUCCGACCGAGAAGGGAGUAGGGGAGAUGAGAGGUGAUCAAAAGGCCGCUCGGAUCAUUAUGCUGGAGGACUUGGAGAAAGACAAGGAUCUAGGCGGCGCCGAAGGAAAUAAACGGCGCCGAACCGAAGAUGGUCCUGGGGGCAGCGGCCAUGCCCUACAUAUUGAGUUGGAAAAGUUUGGGAAUGAUCUUUCAAACCCGAUAGCCGAACCAGGCACUGAGACCGAAGAGGUGGAGUUAUACGCAGGGUGCUCGGGAAAAAUGGUUCGGAUCGGUAAAGACAUGGAAUCAGAACUGAAGGAGAAGGUGAUUGAUGUGGUCCGUCGGUACCAUGAUGUUUUUGCCUGGGGGCCCGAAGACAUGCCGGGGUUGGAUGAGUCGAUCGCUCGGCACAGGCUAAAUGUUCAUCCACAGGCUGUGCCAGUUAAGCAGAAAAAGAGGAACUUCGCUGUGGAAAGGCAGAAGGUGAUUGAGGCCGAAGUGGAGAAGUUACUGGAGGCCAAGUUUAUUGAAGAAAUUGAGUAUCCUGAGUGGUUGGCAAAUGUGGUGGUGGUCAAAAAGUCAAACAACAAAUGGAGAAUGUGUGUCGAUUAUACCGACCUCAACAAGAACUGCCCGAAGGAUCACUACCCUCUGCCGAACAUCGAUCAGCUGAUAGAUGCCACAUCCGGCUAUCAAAUACUCAGCUUCUUGGACGCGUUUUCAGGCUAUCAUCAGAUCGCCAUGGAUGCCGAGGAUAUUCCCAAGACAACAUUCAUCACCCCGAAGGGAACCUAUGCUUACAUCAAGAUGCCCUUCGGUCUGAAAAACGCAGGGGCCACUUUUCAAAGGAUGGUGAACAAAGUCUUCGCCGAUCAGAUAGGCCGAAACAUGGAGUGCUACGUCGACGACAUGAUAGUAAAAUCCUUGUUUCGGGAUCAUGCCGAUGACCUCAAAGAAUGCUUUGAGACCCUAAGACGGAACAACAUGAAGCUUAACCCCGCCAAGUGCACCUUCGGGGUUUGUAGUGGCAAGUUCCUAGGGUACAUGGUCAGUGCAAGGGGGAUCAAAGCGAAUCCUGAAAAGAUAAAGGCAGUAUUAGAAAUGGAAGCCCCGAAGACCAUUCGGGACAUUCAGAAGUUAACUGGGCGACUGGCAGCCUUCCGAAGGUUCAUCUCUCGGUCGGCGGAAAAGGCGCUCCCUUUCUUCGAAGUUUUGAAGGGAGCAAAGAAUUUUGAGUGGGGGCCGAACUGCAUCAAGGCCUUCGAGGAAAUAAAGGAAUAUCUAGUUAAAGCCCCCCUACUGCUGAGGCCCGAUCCGAGGGAGACCCUCCAACUGUACUUGGCAGUAAGUGACCGAACCCUUGGUGCGGUCUUAGUGAAGGAACACGAGAAGAACCAACAUCCGGUCUUCUAUGUGUCUCAUAUGUUGAGGGAUGCAGAAACCCGAUACCCGAAUGCCGAGAAGUUCGCAUAUGGGCUGGUCAUGGCCUCCCAAAAAUUGCGACACUAUUUCCAGGGGCGAACGAUACAAGUGGUCACCGACCAACCCUUGAAGAAGAUCCUCAGCCGACCAGAGGCUUCGGGCAGAGUCGUCGCCUGGUCUGUAGAAUUGGGGGAAUAUGACUUAGAGUAUGUUCCCCGAACAGCCAUCAAAGCCCAAGCCUUGGUUGACUUCAUGGUGGAGUGCAUUUUUUCGGGGACUAAGGAUAUGGAGCCGAAAGAGCAGCUCAUCCGGACUCCAGGAAAGUGGAAGUUGUUUGUAGAUGGGUCGGUGGCCGGGUCAAAGUGUGGGGCUGGAUUGAUCCUUUCUAGUCCCGAUGGAUUUGAGAUUUGUCAAGCCAUCCGAUUCACUUUCCCUUUGACCAACAAUGAGGCCGAAUACGAAGCCCUCCUGGCAGGAAUGAGUCUAGCAAAAAAUCUGGAAGUAAGGCAUUUGAGGGCUUUUAGUGACUCCAUGCUGGUCGUCAAGCACUUUUCCGGGGAAUAUGAACAGAAAGAGCCCCGAACGAAGGCUUACGCCGCCAAGGUACGGGAACAAACUCAGUUUUUCGAAACAUUUGAAUUAAGCGCAAUCGGUCGGGAGGACAAUGGCCGUGCCGAUGCUCUCUCUCGUUUAGCCUCGGCCGAAACACAAAACUUGACGGGGUCCAUCUACUUGACGGAAGUAAAAACGCCUUCGGUCGACAAGAAAGCUUGCCUGGAGAUCCAUCAAGGCAUAAAUUGGAUGACCCCCAUCAGAGCCUACUUAGAGAAGGGGUUCUUGCCCUUAGAAAAGAAGGAAGCUCAAAAGAUAAAGUACCGAGCAGCUAGCUACACACUGAUCGGGGGCCGACUCUUUAGGCGAUCAGUCUCUCAGCCCCUGCUCCGAUGCUUGGAUUCAGAGGAACAGCUUCUAGCCCUGGAGACAGUUCACGAAGGAAUCUGUGGCGAACACCUGGCCGGCCGAUCCCUAGCCCUAAAGAUACUCCGACAGGGUUUCUUCUGGCCGACCCUUAGAGAAGAUGCAGCCAACUAUUCAAAGAAAUGCCGGCAAUGUCAAAUCCACAGCAAUGUUCCGAAGCAACCCCCAGAAGAAAUGACUUCGGUCCUCAGCCCAAUACCAUUCUCCAUGUGGGCCAUCGACAUAGUGGGAAUCCUACCGACCAGCACUCGGCAAGCCAAAUACUGCAUAGUCGCCAUUGACUACAUGACGAAGUGGGUCGAAGCCCGACCACUUUCAGCUAUCACCGAACAGGCCGCCAAGAAAUUCUUCCUGGAGCAGAUAAUUGUGAGGUUCGGCAUACCGAUGGUGUGUGUAUCCGAUAAUGGCACUCAGUUUUUUGGGAGGAAGUUCAAAGAGUUCUUGGCCAGCUUCGGCAUUCAACAAAGGUUCAGCUCGGUCGGUCAUCCCCAAGGAAACGGGGCGAUCGAGGCAGCUAACAAGAUCUUCUUUCACGGAAUUAAGAAGCGCCUUGGAGAAGCAAAGGGACUGUGGGCCGAAGAGCUCCCCUGGGUCCUGUGGGCAUACCGAACCACUCCUCGCUCUUCGACAGGAGAAACGCCAUUUCGGUUAGCUUAUGGGACCGACUCACUUGUUCCAGUCGAGGUUGGCCUGGAAUCUUCCCGAACCCCGGUCUUCAAUCCCGAUACCAAUGAAUUUGGCCUCCGAGGCAACCUGGAUCUCCUAGAAGAAGAAAGUGAAGCCGCCCAUCAAAGGAAUGUCCGAUACCAACAACAAGCAUCUCAAUAUUAUGAUUCGGGUAUCCGAAAACGUUCUUUCAGAGUUGGGGACAUGGUUCUCCGAGACUCAGCUACUCCUAUGCCGACGAAGCAAGGAAAGCUUGUGCCGAACUGGGAAGGACCUUACACAGUUGUCGAGAUCGUUCGGCCGGGCACCUACAAACUAGCAGCUUCGGAUGGGAGCCCCAUUAAGAAUACUUGGCACGCUUCCCAACUCCGGAAAUACUAUCAGUAAGGCUUCCCGCCUGAACAUUUCACUUUCCAUUUUACAGUUCUACAGUCAUGUAAUUAUUUGCCUUACGAUAAAUAAAAGUUCCUAUUUCGAAUUCUGGAUAGUUGUAACUUGUUUAACAUUCCGAUCGAUCCCGUAACUCGGGGCAACCUGAUCAAGCUACGGGACCAAAGGAGUUGGCCAUGAUUAACCUAAAUAUUUGCACGAUUGUUCUUAUCUAUAACGGGGCCGAUCGAAUUCCUAACUUACAGAUAAUAACAAUCUCCAAAUAUUGGGGGAAUCAAGAGGCAUUGUGCUAAAGCCAGUUUUGAGGCUAAAGAUGUACACUUGUAAGUUAUGAUAACAUGUAUCGAGAUUUUUCGGUCGAAGACAUACAUCAGAGUUCACCGUAUCGAGACUUAUCAGUCAGACAUACGAAAAUGCUAAAAUUGUAUCGAGGCCGAACGGUCUAAGACAUACAUAAAAAACUCGUGUAAGGACCGAUCGCUCGGCCUAAGAAAUACGACACUUAGAACAUGUAUCGAGACAAUUUAGUCGAAGACAUACAUUAUUACGCAUCGGAAAUAAAAACACGCGUUAAGACAAUUCAGUCGAAGACAUGCAUUAACAUUAUCGAAGACAUACAUCAGAAAGAAACACAUGUAUGAAGAUAAACCAAGUAUCGAAAGCAAGCCCGAAGGCGAAAUUAAUUAAAAGCCCGAAGGCGAAAUAUUUGUACAAAGCCCGAAGGCAGAUCGUUCUUACAAUAACAGCCUGCAGGCUAACAAAUUACAAAAGAAAAGAUUACUCCGAGUAAUCAGUUUCGGGAUCGGAGGAGACAACCAGAGGCUCGUCCGGAUCAUCACGGCCGACCGGAUCAGAAGCGCCUUCGUCCAGAAGUAGCUUGUGAUCCAAGCCUUCCUUAUGAGCCCGACGAACCGCCUCGUCGUACCCGAUCUCGAGGAACCUAUCCUCGGUCUUCUCCAGGAUUUUCUUCGCCUUCUUCUCCCUUCGGCGAGCGGCUUUCAGGGCCAGGUUCCGACGCUGGACCCUUCUUGUCAGAGUAUCGACCUGACCCUUCAGUCGACCUUCCGACUCCCGAAGGUCCUUUAUGUCCUGAUGGGCCGCAUUCAGCUCGGUCUUCAGAGCCGCCAGGGUGUCUUCAGCAAGAUUGGCCCUGAUAGUGAGGGCAUUGACCCCGGCCAUCUGCUUCUGCAUGUCCUGGACUUUGUCAGUCACCGCCGCCGCCCAGGGAGAAGCCUGCACAAAAACUAGACAAGUUAAAAUCACAUCCGAAGGCUAUAAAAUGAAGGGGCAGAGAACAAUGAUACUUACCAAGGAAAGGAAACACAUGAGCUGCUCACAAGCUUGCAGCGCCGUGGCCGACUCAUAGGUUCCCCUGUCGGCCGGGAGAAUCUGGGACCUGCAAAGAUCUCCAGAAACGUCCUUGAUCCGGUCGGGAGCCAGGAUCGCUAUUGAAUCGGUCGACAAGACCGACCAUUCGGGAACGUAAGGCCAGACCUCAGAAGAACCAUCCGGCCUUGUCCUCUUCCUAGCCACCUCGGGGGCUGGAACCUCUUCGACCACAGAGGUCUUCUCGAUCCCUCCUUCCGAGCGACCGACCUCCGGGGUCUUCUCCUUAGCCACAUCCGCCCGGACUAUGGCACCAACUGUUGUUUCGCCGCGGGCCUUUGCUUCGGCCUCCUUCUUGGCCGCCAUGGCCUUCGCCGUCUUCCGCUUCAGGGCUUCGGUCCGAGAAGACACUGCACAAAAGAGCAAGUGUCAAAGCAGUUCACAGAUGUAAACGAAACAGUCGAAAAACGAAGGAAAUGCCUAGGAGAAACAGGGAAACUACCGUCACUACCCCAAAGAGUAAAGAGCCACUCCUUCUCCCGGCUCGUCGAUAGCAAGAUUCGGUUCGGCUCCUGGACUUUGCUUAAUUUCUCAAAGUCCUCUAGGUCCUUGCCGACCAGAUGGGGAGUGGUGAUGAUCGAGGGGUUGACCUCCCUCCAUGUGGAAAACUUGUGGAUCGAAUGACCCCCCAAAUAGAACCACCGCUCAUGGGUCCCUUUAUUGCUGGAGUUGGUCUCACACCAGUUCGGUCGGCCGGUUUUGCGGCCAAUAGUGUAAAAACCAUUGCUCUUGGCAUUCUUUUUGAAAUCAUGGUGAUUCCAAAAAAGAGCCGGCCGGGGAGACACGCCAGCCAUCAGACACCGAUGCUGGAAUACGUUUAUAUACGUAAAUCCAUUCGGGUCCAACUGUCCCAGGGCGAUCCCCGUCUGCUUCAGGAGUUUCUUCAGCAGGGGGAGCAUCGGAAGCCGAAAGCCGCACUUGAAGGCGUUCUCGGAGAUGCCCACGCACCUGUGGCCGUCCUCCGACUCAGGAGUCUGAUAGAUGCAGUCAUUCGCGAUGGCCGGGUAAAUAUCCCACGACCGAUGAAUCUGGUAUUUUAUCCGAAACGUCUUCAGAUCCGCUUCGGUCAGUAGAGAAGGAAAGUUGGCCAUAGGGAACUUCAGCGCAUCGCUGAAGUGAUCCGCAGCCGAGUAAGAGGUCCCCACAACGUCACCCGACCGAUCCAUUUGCCUGCAAACGAGAGAAGGCAAACAUAAGCCAUGUACUCAGAAAGAAAGAAGAAAAGAAAAAGAGGUGAGCCCGAGUACAGAGGGCCUAAUCGGGUCGGGCCGACGGGGCUUAAACAAAACCUAACCCUAGAAAACUAAACCAAGCGACAAGACAACACAUGAAGAAAGCAGCAAACGGGGAGGAAAAAACGACGGCAAGGCUCGAGUUGAAAACUCGAGAACCGCCGGACAACCCCAACCGCAAUUCUAAUCUACGACAACUCAGCAAGAUGGCAUUACAAUAUAGACAAAACAACAAAAGUCGAAAACUACCAGGAACCAGCAAAAAACAACAAACCGGCGAGAAACUCCCGUCGGGAACAGAGUACAAGAAUCGAUAAAAUCCGGCAAGCAUUUUUAAAGCAUAAAGACAGCAAGAUAAAUCGCUAAAGAAAGGAAGACUUACUCGUUGGAAAGAGGAAGAAAACGGUUGCAGGGAAAGGAACAAUGAGCACCGCCGGUUGCCGAGUUGCGCCGGAGAAAGUAGGAAGAAAAUAAGGAGAAGUUUGAGAAGAGAGUUUGGGAAUAUAAAAAGAAACUGGUGGUAAUGAUUCAUAUUUAUAGCCUCUCGUGAAAAGGCGCGCCCUAUUAAUGGCACCCUUUGGAAUGCACGGCCCAGAUUCGACGCAAAUCUCGAGGUAACGUCAUCCAGCACUCAAACGACGCCCUACGCCUUUCGGACCGGACGCUUUGAAAUCAUACCGAAGCACCUGUCGAUCUCCCGGCCUAACGCCUCACCCGAUCGGUCGGUAAGACAAACUCAGACUUCGGCCGCGUUUGCAACCCGACCGAAGCCUGGGGACAUGUUGGGUUAUAAGCCUCUCAGCCCAACUCACCAAGGCCCAAAAGAGGCCCAGUCCAUCAUUUGAACUCCAACGUCACUAUUGCAACGGUCGCGUGAGAGAAUCCCGCCUCCUUUACUCGCCAUCAUUUCCCUCCCGCAUCGGGCGGGAGCGUUACAAACUCAGGCUCAUCUCCCUCCUAUAUAAAGUGGGUAAAUUAAGGGUAAAGGACACAUUCACAUACAUAUACACUUUUACAUACAUACACGCUUGCAGUUCUCUAAACCCCUCUUGAGCCACUAACUUAUUCUCACGCCGGAGGUGAAUCGGGGGGACAAUCCCUCGCAUUCUUCUCUGUUUCAGGUCAUAUUCAGGCUUUGGCAUCCGGCAGAACUUUGGCUCCAACAAGAUCCAUAUUUCACUUGAACUGAAAGAAAUGCAUGAUUCGCUAAUAACAUGUCUGCCCCGCAUAUACAACUGAUACUUGAUACUUGAUAGUAUGAGUCAAGAACACACGACAAAUCUGCAUAACGAGUGACAACCGAAAAUACGAUCUCUGGGAGGUCGGCCUUGAAAGGCACAAAUUAGCUAGGCCGAUUGGCCGAAAAUCAUUCGGACGAGAUUUUUAUACAAGCCCACAGUUUGAGUCCACAGAAGGACCCAUUCACAAAGACGUUGCCCACCAAAUACCAACAGCUCUAAUUAAAUAUUAUAUUAAUAUAAAUUUCUUAUUUAUUUGAAUUUUAAGGCAUGAUAAGAAUUUUAUAGAUUUAUUUCAUAUUUUUUUUUUUGAUUUUUAAAAAUUAAAAUUGUUAGUGAUAUAAUUCUGUUGAUGGGAUAACAGUUACAUUAUAUAUUCUAAUCAACAUAGACAUAUUUUCAUACUUAUAAUGUUUCAAUGAAUGGUAAAAGAUGACAAUUUUAUCCGAUCUAAUGGAUACCUGACCGGUUCCGAUUCGUUUGGAUUUUUCGGAAUCCGAUUUUUUGAAUUUGAAUCUAGAUCUGAAUUUGGAUUUUACAAAAAUCAAACAUAUCCGACGCAUUGUCAUCCCUGAUUAAAGAUGGUUUCGCUUAUUAACGAAGGAUAGAUUCUAGGAGAAGUCUAAUGAAUCAUGUGGAAGGAGGUUUCACGUAUUAAUAAAUGAUAUAGAUUCUAAAGAUAGUCUAGUACAUCACAUGAAUAAUACUUCCUCCAUCCCAUUUUAAGUGUCAUGUUUGACUUUAGAAUGGUCAAAUUGACCAAAUUUUGACUGAGAUUUACACAUAUAAUAUAAUUUUUAAAAAUAAAAAAAAUUAUGUCAUUAUAAAGUACAUACAAUAUACUAUAAAAUGUAAUUUUUAGUGUCUUAAAAUAAUAAUGAAUUUGUUCUUUAUACGUUGUCAAAAAUUGGUCAAUUUGAUCGUUGAAAGUCAAAACAGGACACUUAAAAUGGGAUGGAGGGAAUAUUAAAAUUAAGAAUAUAUUGCACUUUGUGACCUCAUACUUUGGCUCAUUAGCAAAUCAGACCCCACAAUUUGAAACGUGGUAGUUUGUAACCCUAAAUUUCAUUUAGUUUUCGGUUUGUAUCCCUGGCCCACACAUCCGUUAAAAAAAACGUCAACUUUAACUGUUUGAGAGGUAACGGUGUGUAUAUUAGUUUCCUACCGUGUGUAUUUUUAAAAUAUGUAUUUAUUUUAAUAUUUUAAAAUAAGUUACAUCGUUUAUGUAAAAUAAAAGUAAAUUUUCAAAUUCAAAAUCUAAAUACACGGAUGGAGUAUUAAAUAUUACUUUACUUACAAUUAUAUAUACUUAACAAAUAAAUAAUCAUACCUUUAUCAUUAAUUGACAAUCUGAUCGAAAUUAAUUUUGUAAGGAACCUGUUUCUUUGCCCUAAUCUGCAAGCACGUCGGACAUCCAUAUAAAGCAACCUUAAUAGUUCUAGAGCUUGACAUUCUCAACUUAAAAGAAUGAGUAGUUGCCUCCAUGGUUAAGUACCUUAGAGCAAGUCCAACAAUGUCCUAGCAAAUGUUCUAUAAAUAUAAUAAAAUAAUGUGUCCUAGUGAUUUAGGUCUUCAUCUUCAUAUAUCAACUCCACCAGCAUGCCUCAUUAUUGUGCCUUAUUAUUAAAAUAUUAAUAUAUUUAAAUUGUUAUUGGAGGGAAAUGAAAAGUAGAGAAGAGAGAGAUGUAGUGGAAUGGUAGGAAACUAUUUUUUUAUUGAAUAGGGCAUGCAUAUUGGUGCCUCAAAAAUAAGGCAAUUGUUACAUGUCCUAGUGUUUUAAGGCACCACUAGGACAUUGUUGGAGCAUUGAUUUGCCUCACAUGCCUUAUAUUUUGAUUUAGGACAUUAAUAUAGGGCACUCUUGGACUUGCUCUUAGGCUAAGAGCAAGUCCAACAAUGUCCUAGUUAGAGCCCCAAAUAUAAUAUAAAAUAUGGUGUCCUAGUGAUUUAGGACAUGGUUAUGUAAGUUCAACUCCAACAAUGUGCCUUAUUUUCAAUAUAUGUUUAAUAUUUUAUUAUUAAAGUCUUCCUUUCAUCAUUAAAACACAAUAUAAAGUAGAGAGAGAAAGAGGGUGGAUAUAAAAUUUUAUAUUAAAAUAUUGGAUAGGGCAAGGAGAGAGGUGCCCUAUUAAUAGGGCUUGAAAAGAUUGUCCUAGUGAUAUAAGGCAUCACUAGGACACUCUUGGAUCAACAUUUUUCAUCAAGUGCCUUAAAUUAUAACUUAAGACAAGUUAUAGGGCUUCUCUUGGACUUGCUCUAAUAUAGGGCACUCUUGGACUUGCUCUUAGUCCGCGCACAAUCGCACUCAAGAACUCAUAGAACUCAGCUGGUAAGCUAUGUAGCUUACAAAACUGUUGCACACAAACACGCACAUAUAUUUUACAAUCAAAUAUUUAGUAGCUUCGUCGCUCAGAUGAUGUAUAAUUUAGAUCACAAUCCAUUUAGAUAUCAAAUCUCCAACAAUAAUUCAGAGUUAUAAGAGUGUCCAAAAGCUAUGGCGAGAUGGACAAUAUAUAACCAAAUCAAACAUACCCGGUAUAUCCACGGUGUGGGAGGGUAAAAUGUAUGUAAACCAUGCUCGGAGGCUGUUUCCGUUUGUGACAUGAAAAUCAAAUAUAGAGGUAUCUAUUGAACCGCUGGAUUUUUGGUGGCAUAAAAACAGCUGAGAGUUAAUUGUCUGGUACUGAACCGCCGGAGAAGAUUAUGAUCUGCUAAUCGACGAAUAAAUCAUGUGGCUGUAGCUUUCUAUUGUACUUGUCUAUGUUGACAUAUUCAUCCAAGCCAAAGGAUCACAUGCAUGCAUUGAAUUGAUACGCUAAUGACCCCAUAACAUUUAUGUAUAUAGUUUUUGUUUCAUCUCUCAGUCUCCAGGGACGUCUUUUGAGAAUAUAAUGAUCUCACAAGAUGCUCAAUUUAAAAAAAAAAAAGAAGAUAACAUACAAAACAAAUAAAGGAACAAACUUGGCAUGAAACAUCCUACAGCAAAUUAACAAUUAGAGGCACCGAACAAAUUACUGGUUUAAAUAAAUAUUCUACCUGUUCUUUGUAAAAGAUUAUCUGCAAAGAGAUAUAAUUGAGAUUAAUCAACAUUGUUGUUACAAUUUUACAUAGUAAAAAAGGUCAGCUACUCUCUAAUACAUUCUGAGUAAUAUACAUCAAUAUUCUUUUCACAGAACAUUGAAAAACCCGAAAGCAAAUUACAUGAAAUACAUCUAGAAUUAUCAUAAAAAAACAUGUUGAAAUUCAGACAUAAUUAAUUAACUAGCAUCAGUAAUCUUGAUCAUGGAGUUAAUCACUCUCGCCCUCAUCAGGAAUGGAAUUCAAGUCCAAAACACAAUUAUUGUCGCCUACUUUAACGUCGACAACCACUUCUUCGUCAGGUGGCGGAGGUACCUCCAACGCAGGAAUAAUUGAUUCCCCUACCUUGUUAUUCUUCAAGUACUUAACCGUGGACCGCAUCCGGUUCAAGAUAGUAAAAAAUUCAUCCACCUCUUCCUCGGUUGGCGGCGGCGUUGUCAUGGCCGUGGCUUCUUUUUUCACCCGUCUUUCGACAUUUUCGAGGUCUGCGGUGUCGGAUUUCUUGCGCUUCCUGUCGCGGCCAUCCAUGAGAAUAAACGCGGAUUCUUAAUCUUGUAAUCUAGGAAUGAGUAUUAGUAGCAUGUUUGUUUGAAUGCUUUUAUAUUCAUGGUAGUUAUAAUAUUUUGUAAGGUAAAGUUCUUGUGGCCUCGACCGUUCGAUGAGAAAUUUAUGACAUCAGAUAUUCGAGAGAUGAGCGAGGUAUGGUGACGUGGUUAGAUGUAUCGUAGAGCGGACCUAGCAAGUCACGCCCGCCAAGUGCCAACAGACGAACCCACUUGUUAAGAAAUUACUUCACUAUAUCACCACUUCUUUCAUUUAUCAUACUCUUGGUCUCCUUCUUAAUCAUUGUUUUAUACUGUGAUUUCACUAUUUUUUUCUCCGCAAGAUUCAAAUUAUCAACCUCCAAUUACCAUGUCUAAGAUGGGUGCCGGUUUCUGAUUGUCCGGGACGUUUUAAGUGACUUGUAUAGUUUGGACAUUAGAUAAAUAUGUAGUGAUUAAAAUUAUAAUAUUUUUUUAAUACGUCCACCGAUUAGAGGAUGGGACUCCUCCGGCGCUUAAAAAGCGCUCGAUGGAGUCAUUUUCUCUAUCCGACAGUUAAAAAACACUGAAUAUAUUGGAAAUUUGUUAUAAUCAACAGAUAUUCAUUCAACCUUGCAAAAUAUAUAAAAAAGUUAA
rnacentral:lncRNA from 1 species